CGGAACGGGUGAGUAACAUAUCGGAACGUACCGAGUAGUGGGGGAUAACUGAUCGAAAGAUCAGCUAAUACCGCAUACGUCUUGAGAGGGAAAGCAGGGGACCUUCGGGCCUUGCGCUAUUCGAGCGGCCGAUAUCUGAUUAGCUAGUUGGUGGGGUAAAGGCCUACCAAGGCGACGAUCAGUAGCGGGUCUGAGAGGAUGAUCCGCCACACUGGGACUGAGACACGGCCCAG
rnacentral:rRNA from 1 species